rnacentral:rRNA from 1 species
ACGGCUCAGUAACACGUGGAUAACCUGCCCUAAGGUGGAGGAUAACCCCGGGAAACUGGGGAUAAUACUCCAUAGGUUCCGGAGGCUGGAAUGCCCUGGAGCCUAAAGCUCCGGCGCCUUAGGAUGGAUCUGCGGCCGAUUAGGUUGUUGUUGGGGUAACGGCCCAACAAGCCUGUAAUCGGUACGGGUUGUGAGAGCAAGAGCCCGGAGAUGGACUCUGAGACACGAGUCCAGGCCCUACGGGGCGCAGCAGGCGCGAAAACUUUACAAUGCAGGAAACUGUGAUAAGGGAACCCCGAGUGCCCGUAUACGCGGGCUGUUCAGGUGUUUAAAAAGCAUCUGGAGAAAGGGCCGGGCAAGACCGGUGCCAGCCGCCGCGGUAAUACCGGCGGCUCGAGUGGUGACCACUUUUAUUGGGCUUAAAGCGUCCGUAGCUGGAUUGUUAAGUCUCUUGGGAAAUCCGCCGGCUUAACCGGCGGGCGUCUAAGAGAUACUGGCAACCUAGGGACCGGAAGAGGUGAGAGGUACUCCGGGGGUAGAAGUGAAAUUCUGUAAUCCUCGGGGGACCACCUGUGGCGAAGGCGUCUCACCAGAACGGCUCCGACAGUGAGGGACGAAAGCUGGGGGAGCAAACCGGAUUAGAUACCCGGGUAGUCCCAGCCGUAAACGAUGCGCGUUAGGUGUGCCGGUGACCACGAGUUACCGGGGUGCCGAAGGGAAACCGUGAAACGUGCCGCCUGGGAAGUACGGUCGCAAGGCUGAAACUUAAAGGAAUUGGCGGGGGAG